GAUUACUCGUUUCUCCGGGCACGCCAACAAAUCCGCCGUAUACAAAGAAAUUUUUUUUAUAUACGAAACGAUAGCUAUACCUAUACCUGUAAUCAUACAACACUACAACCAGUAGUAUAGAGCUGCUAAAAAGAAAACAUAUAUAAAUAACAUCGGUUCAAUUACAUACAUAGUAUCCAGAUACAAAAAUACUCGCUCCAGUGAGAAUCUAACAUCAGUAUGUAAUAGAACCAAAAACUACAACUACCUGUAGCUGGUAUGUCUCUAGAUCAGCAGCAAAAUGGGAAGGAAUCUAACUCGCAACUCACUUACCACGAUCUAAAUUAGCAACAGCAGCAGCCGAGGAAGAAGACUCUGUAAAAAGUUUCAACAACUCGGUAUGAGAACUACUGCAAAAAAAAAUAGUUCUUAGUGAAUAGCGCUACCGACCUCAACGGUUCACCUACAAAGUCUACAGAUAUAAGCUCAAAGAUAGUAAAGAAAGCUGGAAAAACUCUACAGCUAUAUACUGCUAUACUAUCACUAAUCAACAAUCUGUAGGUAUGAUAAUACACUGCCUAACCCAAAUCUCACUAGGGACUGUGAACACACCCGUCCUGCCUGUCGAAGCGAACCCGUACACCGAAGCUCAAGAGUAGCCAGUGGAGAAACUCUCUAGAGACUGAAAAUACACCUAUCUCGCCUAGCUAGGCUACACCGUAGCUCAAGAGUAGCCGGUGGAGAAAACUCUCUAGAGACUGUGAAUACACCCGUCUCGCCUAACUAGGCUACACCGUAGCUCAAGAGUAGCCAGUGGAGAAAACUCUCUAGAGACUGUGAAUACACCCGUCUCCCCUAACUAAGCUACACCGUAGCUCAAGAGUAUCCGGUCCAAGUAAAAAGGUCCGACAGGAUGGCUGCGACUCCAUUCACAUCACAACCUCACCUAAGGGGGGGAAAGGCAUCACUAACUACCACUAAUCCAACCACACACGGGCUGCCCAAACGGACCCACCCUGCCUGAAUCCAACUCAAGAACCGUCCAAACAGAAACUGCGAUCUCAUCGCACUGAAACCUCAAGACAAACCGAGAACAACACAAAAGCACAAAGUCCGACUCCGGAGCGGCACUCAUGGGCGCUACCCAAUCGAGUAUGCAAGCGUGUCUCUAUCGAUCUCAAUCAGGCUCUCACAGGCUGUAGUCAAAAUAGAAAGGUCUCACUGGUUGAACAACCACAAUCUACGUGCCAUCGGCACAAUCUGAUGCAAAAACUGCAAACCGGAUCCACCGUCAACCACAACGGCACCCUACAGUUCGGAACAGUCUGUACAUUACUGUAAAAAUACACUCGGCAUCUCAGCAGGAGCGUAAAUGCAUUCUAUACUAUUCUGGGUAUCUACCGCCCACAAACUGCGGCGAUACAAACAAACUACGGCUUCUAGAGCUAAAUCUGGUAGUUUCAGAAAAUGACGGUGUAUAAUCGAUAGUUUUCUCCUAAGUCAAUUCCAAGUCCAACAUGUAUAAUUUAGCUAAUAUUUUAAGUUCUAAUUCAGAUUUAAAAACCAUGCAAAUUAAAGAAUCGAGCUACUAAACAUGCUAAACGAAGCUAAACACAUGCUGUCAACAUAUAGGUUUAGAAGAUAAUUCCAAAAAUUUCAAUAAGCAUAUUAUUAACCCACCUCAAAAGCUACUCCAACAACGGCGAGAAGUCGAAAGAAGCGGAACCACGCGCUCGCCCGGCCUCCCAACGAUGCGACUAUGAUGCUCGCGUGCUCAAACGGCUCAUCGGCGCGAAGUCUAUGUCGAUCCGAGCUCCAUCCGCGACCUCCAACUUGCUACGGUCAAGGACUAAAGAGAGAAAGGGAAGAACCAGCAAAAACCCUUCAUCUCUGCCUCCUUACACGUAUAUAGAGGGAGUUGGUAAGGGUGAUAACAACGAGGCAGCCAAAAGACCAAACAGCCCCUCACCUACCCUGGAGUACCGGUACCAGGCCGAUGUCGUACCGGUACCCCGCAGCAGAAUGUGCAACCUGAGAGCAGUCUGCGUUGAAAACAUACAGGGUACCGGUACUCCCCUGUGUGGUACCGGUACGCAUUGCUGAAAAUCUGAAGUUUGCAGAUUGGAAUGCUAAACAGCUGCUAUUGCGUUGCAACGAGUUCAUUUUGCGUCUAUUUCGUGCCAACACGACUCGGACUUGUUCCGACACUCUCCAGAUGUGUCGACAAGCCUCAAAUGCUGAACUCUCACAGCUGCAGAACACUAGGGAUACUUCGUCCUCGAAACUUAAGCAUACCUCAAUCCUGAGCAUCGAACAAGUAAGGGUAGGACUCCCUCAUCACCGUCUCCGGCUCCCAGGUCGCCUCUCACUCCUCGUGAUGACUCCACUAUACUUUUACAUAAGGAAUGACCCAGUUGCGCAAUUCCUUCAUUUCACGAGUCAGAAUUCACACCGUUUUUUCCUCAUAUCUCAUGUCCUCGCUAAGCUCCGGCGGAGUGAAGUUGAUCACGUGCGAGGGGUCAAACACGUAUCUCCUCAAUGUAGAGACGUAGAAAACAUCGUGAAUGCCGGCCAGCCAUCGGGGUAGAGCAAUCCUGUAGGCAACUGGUCCAACUCGCUCCAAUAUCUCAAAAGGGACUACAAAGCGUGGACUGAGCUUUCCAUGCACUCCAUAUCUGUAUAUCCCUCUGGACGGCGAGACUUUCAGAAAUAUAUGAUCUCCAACCUGAAACUCUAAGUUUCGUCCCUUGAUAUCGGCGUAGCUCCUCUGUCGACUCUGGGCUGUCAAAAGAUGUUGUCGAACAACUUGAACUUUUUUCUCAACCUCUAUUAGAAUCUCAGGCCCUAGAGUCUUCCUUUCACCCACAUCACUCCAAUGCAAAGGGGAUCGGCACCUGCGUCCAUACAACGCUUCAAACGGAGCUAUCUGAAUGCUCGUUUGAUAGCUGUUGUUGUACGCAAACUCAGCCAGUCUGAAAUAUGCCACACUCCUCCAAAGUUCAGGACACAUGCCCUCAGCAUGUCCUCCAAAGUCUGAAUGGUCCGCUCUGACUGACCAUCUGUCUGUGGGUGAAAUGCAGUGCUGAAAUGCAACUGUGUACCGAAGGCUAUCUGAAGAUUCCUCCAAAAGUGUGAUACAAAUCUCGGGUCUCGAUCUGAUACUGUCAAAAUCGGCACAUCAUGCAAUUUCACAAUCUCAUCCAAGUAUAACUGAGCAAGUCUCUCCCUGGACCAGGUGGUUUGUACUAGUAAAAAGUGAGCAGACUUAGUCAGUCUAUCCACUUUCACCCAAAUCGCAUCAAAGUCACCCUGUGCUCUCGGCAAUCCUACGACAAAGUCCAUCGUGAUCUACUCCCAUUUCCACUCGGGCACUGGCAGACUCUGAAGCUUGCCAGCAAGUACUUGAUGCUCUGCCUUUAUCUGUUGGCAAGUCAAACACUGAGCCACAAAUCUGCCAAUGUCUCUCUUCAUUCUAUUCUAACAGAAGUGUGCCUUUAAAUUCUUAUACAUCUUGAUUCCACCGGGGUGAACGGUAUAAGGUAAGUAGUGAGCCUCCCUCAAAAUCUCCUCUCGGAUCCCUGAAUCCAUAGGCACACACAGUAGGUCCCUAUAUCGCAGUACUCUUGAACUGUCCACAGAAAAAGCCUCUGCAUGUCCCCUCUCCAACUGCUCUCGAAUCCUCAACAAGUGAGAGUCUCUACUCUAUUUCUCCCUGAUUUUGUCCAACAGAGUGGGCUGCAAGACCAUAGACAUCAGUCUUGUAGUAGACCAAGAGGACACUAUCUCGAGUCUUAACUGCUGUAGCUUCUCAAGUAACGGCCUCUGCUGAGUAAUCAUCAUGCUCAAGCUCUGCACUGUUUUUCUGCUCAACGCAUCUGCCACCAUAUUCGCCUUGCCGGGGUGAUACUGAAUACUAAUAUCAUAGUCCUUCAACAACUGCAACCACCGGCGUUGCCUCAGGUUCAAUUCCUUUUGGGUGAACAAAUACUUGAGAUUUUUAUAAUCAGUAAAAAUCUCACAGUGCUCGCCAUAUAAAUAAUACCGUCACAACUUCAAAGCAAAGACCACCGCGGCAAGCUCCAAGUCAUGAGUAGGGUAAUUCUUCUCGUAAUCCUUUAAUUACCGUGAAGCAUAAGCAACUACCCUAUCAUGCUGCAUCAGCAUACAACCCAAACCAUUGUGCGAUACAUCACUAUAAAUCACAAAUUCUUCCUCCAUCACUGGAAGGGUAAGGAUAGAAGCAGACAUCAACCUCUGUCUCAACUCAUCAAAGCUCUUCUGACAGUCCUCACUUCAGAUGAACUUAAUUUCCUUUCGAGUCAAUCGAGUGAGGGGUGUGAAAAGCUUCAUAAAGCCUUCCACUAACCGACGGUAAUAUCCUACCAAUCUAAGGAAACUCCUCACCUCGGUAACCGUCGUCAGUCUAGUCCAAUCCCGAAUAGCCUCAAUUUUCUUUGGGUCCACUGCAACGCAAACUGCAAAAAUCACAUGGCCGAAGAAAGAAACUUUUCGAUAAUCCACACACAAUCUAAGUGAACCAUCAUUCUUCUUCACGAAUAAAACCGGCGUUCCCCAAGGCGAUACACUAGGUCUCACAUACCCCUAGUUCAUCAGAUCCUGAAGCUGCGCCUUUAGCUUUCUCAGCUCUGCCGGCGCCAUCCGGUAGGGUGCCUUCAAGAUUAGUGCAGUUUCAGGAACUACAUCAAUCACAAACUCGAUCCCUCUAUCCGGCGGGAUAGUCGUUAACUCUGGAAAAAAAAAUCCGAAAACUCGCGGACGACAGGGAUAUCCUCGAGUCCCGGCACCGCCGUAGGCACCUCUAUAACCAUCGCCAGAAAAGCAAUGCAUCCUCUACUCACCUGUUGUCGAGCCCUCGCCGACGAUAUCCAAGUGGCAAACAACCUACUCCUGCAGCCUCUAUAUGUGAACUCUUCCUGGUCUGGCUCGCGGAACGUCACAGUCCUCGCUCCACAGUCGAUCGUAGUAUAGUACUGCGCCAACCAAUCCAUGCAAAGCACAACAUCAAAGUCCUGCAACUACCCUAAGACCAACAGAUCUGCAGGCAUGAUCCACGAGCCCAACUGCACCGGACACGACCAGCAACACUCUACUACCUGCAAAGUAUGGUCGAAAAUCUGCACCUCUCGUGCAUGCAACAACGGCCCUAUCUCUAGACGAUGCAAUGAUGCAAAUGCUCGGCUAACAAAAGAAUGUGAUGCACCGGUAUAAAAAAGAGUACGAGCUCUAAUGCCAAAAAUCAAAAUAAUAUCUGCCACUACUCGGUCGCUGCUGUAGAGUCCUCCACCUGGACUGCAUAAACCCGCCACUCGCGGCCUACUGUCGCUACUCACCCUGCCGCGGCACAGACGCUCUAUCCUCCUGGCGGUAACUCGGUGCUGCACCGUAAGACUACUGAGAUGCUGGUUGUGUUGAUACCGUCGAUGGUGCUGGUGAUGCUACUCGGGGACAAGCUACCCUCAUAUGCCCUGGCUGUCCACAUUCAUAGCACCGACCCUCUCUCUGCUUACACUGUCGGGGCCAGUGGGGUCCCCCACAAAUCAUACAUUGCGGAGUCCUCUGCAACUGCCUCUGCUGACGAGGUCUCCUAGAACGCUAACGCCCCGAAGACCCACGACCCUAAGAGCGUGAUCGUGGAGGUCUCGGCGGACGCCUGCUGCUGAACUGUCCUCUAUCCUCUAGAACCGGGCGCUUCGUAUCCAAACUCUGCCCUGGCACCGUUGCCGGCUCCUGAAUUGCUAUAGCUCCUCGCUACACCCAUAGUGCCUGCUGCACGGAUGCUCUUGGAUCAACACCCGACCGUUGAGUAACAAUCUCGCACAUCCUCUGUAAUAAUGCCCCCUGCUGCCUCAUCACCUCAGUCAGGGCAGCCAAUUGCUCUCUCAGAUCCAGGAGCGCAUUCGGCCCUGCCGGGGCAGGCAUCUCAGGAGGUGCGGCACGAUCUCUAGUCGGCGGUCGACCUCAACGUCGAUACAUAGCUACACGAAAAAAACAUAAGGGUCAAAUACAAAACACAAAUACUCUCGACCCAAUGAAACGAAAGUCUAGAAGGCGGGCCCUGUUUCUCCUCAAAAUUAUGUUGUCUGCAGCCGACAUAAUUUUCUUGGUUGAAACAGACACUCCUUCAGUCACUCACUCCAUUCUAGGAGAAGUUAAAACUGUUCAAUCGCUGACUUUCGCGAUAAAUCACGCCUCUUGCGUCGUACCUUCCUAAGGUUUGCCAAACUUAGGAUUUCUAGGUCCCAACGACCUAAUAUUAAGCUCCGAUACAAAUUUAAUCUGUCACGCCCCGGAUUACUCGUUUUUCCGGGCACGCCGACAAAUCGACCGUGUACAAAAAAUUUUUUCAUAUAUACGAAACAAUAGCUAUACCUAUACCUGUAAUCAUACAACACUACAACCAAUAGUAUAGGGCUGCUAAAAAAUAUAUAUAUAUAAAUAACAUUAGUUCAAUUACAUACAUAUUAUCCAGAUACAAAAAUACUCGCUCCAGCGAGAAUCUAACAUCAGUAUGUAAUAGAACCAAAAACUACAACUACCUGUAGCUGGUAUGUCUCUAGAUCAGCAGCAAAAUGCGAAGGGAUCUAACUCGCGACUCCCUUACCACGAUCUGAAUUAGCAACAGCAGCAGCCGAUGAAGAAGACUCUACAAAAGAUUUCAAUUACUGGGUGUGAAAACUACUACAAAAAAAAAUAGUCCUUAGUGGGUACCGCUACUGACCUCAACGGUUCCCCCACAAAGUCUACAGAU
rnacentral:lncRNA from 1 species